rnacentral:rRNA from 1 species
CAUUGUAGAAUCCUGCUCGUCCGAAGGACUAGAGAA